UACGGAGGGGGCUAGCGUUGUUCGGAAUUACUGGGCGUAAAGCGCGCGUAGGCGGCUUUGUAAGUUGGAAGUGAAAUCCCGGAGCUUAACUCCGGAACUGCUUUCAAAACUGCAAAGCUAGAGAGUGGUAGAGGAUAGUGGAAUUCCCAGUGUAGAGGUGAAAUUCGUAGAGAUUGGGAGGAACACCAGUGGCGAAAGCGGCUAUCUGGGCCAUUUCUGACGCUAAGGCGCGAAAGCGUGGGGAUCAAACAGG
rnacentral:rRNA from 1 species